rnacentral:lncRNA from 1 species
CACCUGCAGCGCGACGUACCCGGCGGCGACGUCCUGCCUGAGCGCGUCGGCGACGAAGCCCGCCACGGGGACGGACUCGCCGGAGAGCACGGGCGACCAGAUGGUGACGUCGCGGUGGCCCUGGUAGGUCGGCGGGAGGGAGACGGGCACCGUGACGGGUUCGUCGCGGUAGGUGACGAAGACGUCGAGGCGGCGGUAGUGGACGCCGACGUGGUCAUUGGGGUUGCGGGAGGCGAGGGUGACCUGCGCGGUGGCGGAGAGGGAGGGGUCGCCGAGGUCGACGGAGCGGAGCUGGAGGUCCUGCAGGUAGAAGGACGGCUUGGAGGGGCGGAGCGCGAGGUAGACGACGAGCGCGAUGAAGCCGACGACGAGGACCAGCGCCAGGAUGCACGCCGCCAUCCCGCCGCAGCAUCGCCGGAGGUGGUGCUCCCGCUUGUGGUGCUUCUCCUUGCUCAUGGCGGCGGCGACGGCGGCGGCGGCGGCGCGAGCUAGCUUAGCUACGAGUAGUAGAGUGAGAGAGUGAGCUGCGAGCUGUUGCUGAGUGAGAGAGAGAGAGAGAGAGGGGCGUUAGAUAUGAAAGCGAGUAAGAGAGUAAUAAUGGCUUUUAAGAUUAGUGGAGCGAACGAAUUGAAUUUAAGUGUCCGUACUCAAAGAAAGAAAAGGGUUUUAAAAUUUCGCCUUUGAAAUUUGAGUAAAGUGCACGUGCAGUAUUUAAACUUGUAGGGGUGUGUCAUAUAGGUCGCUAAACUCUCAAAAUGCAUAUCUAAGUACCAGAACUUGUCAUAGUGUGUCAUCUAGGUCCCAAAUCACCACAACCCCUUUAGAAUCCUACGUGGCGUUGAUGUGGCAUGCCACACAGACAUGACGUGUUUUGAGAUAAGUUUUGGGACCUGGAUACACUUUGACAAGUUUUGGUACCUAGAUAUGCAUUUUGACAAUUUUUGGGAUCUAUAUGACACAACUGUACAAGUUUAAGGACUGUAAAUGCAUUUUACUCUUUAAAUUUUGAAGGGAAUUGAAGCUAGCUAGAGAGGCAGAGAGCUCUGGAUCGAAAGCUACGUCUCAACCGAAGAAGAUUCUUUCGAUCGUUGUGCUUGGGGUUGUUCUUUAUGCUAUGCUAUGCUAGGUAACCUCUUGUAGAUGAUCUGAUGGGCCAUCGGUUACUGGUUUGGGGGCGAUUUCUGCAUGAUCGAUCAAUCUGCCUUUAGAUUUGUGCCCCACUGCAUGUGUGUUUCCUUUGCGCGCUUAGGAUGGAUCGAGGCUCGAUCGUGUGCUAAUUCGGUGCUUUUAAGUAAGUUUUACUCAAACUUGUUAAUUUGGUCAACGUAUAGGACGGCAAUGGAAUUAUGCUAUUGUUUCCAACUUUUUGGGUUGGUGAUCUCAAGACAUGCACGCACACCCACCACUUAAUCUGAAAACUCAAUAAUUUUCAGCAUGCAUAUGAAGAAAAAUGAGAUAACUAAAAUUUUACGCAUCUGUCAUACACACACACACCCCAUGCAUCUAACUAUAGUCUCACACUCUCACUGUGUGUGUACAUAUUAUUUUUCGAUAAUGUAAUUGGAUCCAAUUUCACUGCAUAUAUGAAAUUGUUGGAAUACGAAGUACCCAUUGUAUCUUACUAUUUUCACUGCAUUCAUUAUUAAUAGAGAAGAAAACAGUGAGAUAACCUGUAUUUGUACGGAUUCAAACUCAGGAUGACGCAUUGCUCAUGCAUGGCAUCCCCUACAAGCAGAACUAGCGAUUGUUCAUGGUAACACCCAUUAUUGAUAGAGAAGAAAACGGUGAUAUAAGAUGUGCAUAUAUGAGGGCACGUAUUGUGUCAUACACCUAUGGAAUAAUAAUGACACGAGACCGCUUGACUAUACUAGCUAGCAAGUUCACCGUACUUGGUUUUCAUAAAAAAACUUUUGUUUUAGACAAGAUCUGGUCAAGUUUUUUUUUGAAAAAAAAUCAAAUCCAUUUUUAAAAUUUGGACAGAAAAGCGAGCAAUUUAUAUUCUCGAGCCAGUCAAAAAGUUCAAUUUUAACUAAAAAUUAAUCCUGUCUUCGUAGGUGAACCAGGACGGCUCCCCCCUAACAGACUUCAGUACAGGCAGUCGUGGAGUUACCCACUCGGUCCGCUCGUGCAGUAGGAGUGCCUGUAAAAAAAAUCAUUUUUCAAUAGUGCGUCCGGUUUUCGUCGGUUUUGUAAAGGAAAAAGUAUGAAUUACCCCCCGAACUAUAACAGUCGAUCGAAUUACCCCUUGAACAACAAAACCGGACAUUUUACACUACCGGACAAAUUAACCCCCCCCCAAGCACUAUUCUGAGUGGUUUUGGCUUAAGCUUGCACACGUGGCGGCAACGUUGCAAUCCAGUCAGCAAAUAAAAAAUAAAAAAGCGUUCGGGCCCACCUAUCAUCCCCAAAUCUCUCUCUCUCUCUCCAUCUCUAUCUCUCUCUCCCUCGGGCGACCGGCGGUUGACGGUGGAGGCGGACCUCGCUCCGCGCGGGGAUGGGAAGCGGAUGGCGGUGCGUGGGAGGCUGCGGCGUGGGUGCGCGAGGACGGGCGGUGGGCGGCAGCACGCGGAGGCGGGCGCGGCUGGGUGGGCGAGGUGAGGAUGGCAAGGACGGGAGAGGCGAGCGCUGCUGGGACGGACGAGAAGAGUGCGGCGGGGACGGGCGAGGUGAGCGCGGCGGCGGGGAACAUCUGCACUAUAUCGGUCGAAGACGAUGAACUCCGAUUUCUCUCUCGCAAGCGCUCAGGUGGCCGGCUGUGGCGGUGGAGGCGGAGUCGCCCAGGCGGUUGGUGGUGGCGGCGGAGGUGGACCGGACAGUGGGUGAUGGUGGCGGAGGCGGACAGGGCGGCCGGUUACGGAGGCGUGGCUCGCCCGGGCAGAGAGAGGAAGAGGGGAAGGAGAGAUAUGACAGGUGGGUCCCACAUCUAUUAUAUUAUUAAAGGAAUAGAAAAAGGAGCCUCCACGUUCGCUCUCAUGGCGUAGAAAUUCGCACAUUAAUCGGAGAAAAAGAAAAAGUAGAGUCCAUAUAGAAAUACUACAAUUUAGAAAUAGUUGAAAUUCAGAAUUAAAAAUAAGGAAUAUUAGAAUAAAAUUAAAUUUAGAGUAUAUGAAUUUAAAACUAACUAAAAUUUAAAAUAAAUAUAAUAAAAUUAAAAGUAGAGUUUAGAGUCCGUAUAAAAAUACAAUUUACAAAUAACUAAAAUUCGAAAUUAAGAAAAACAUGGGAAGAAGUCAAUAUAGUAAUACAAUUUAGAAGUAACUGAAAUUCGAAAUUAAAAAUUAAAGAAUAUUGAAAGAUGAGUUUAAAGUCCACACAGAAAUACAAUUAGAAAUAAUAAAAAUUCAGAAAUAAAAAUAAAUAAUAUUGGAAGAAGAGCAUAGAGUCUAUAUAGAAAUAAUUCAUAGAAAAUUCAAAAUUUUUUAAAAAAUAAAUAUUAAAAGACGAGUCUAAAACCUAUAUAGGAAUAUAUAUAAUUUACAAAUAACUAAAAUUUGAUAUUAAAAAUAAUUAAUAACAAACACGUAUAUAAAAUACAAUACGGGUGUUAUACAUUAGUAGUUUUGUAAAGUUAUUGCAAAAUUUAAAAUUAUGUUGUCAUUUUAAUAUAUUUGAAUAAUAUAAUAAAAAAACAUAUUCUGCUAUUAUAUGAGAGAAAAUAUAAUGAUACUAGCUGCGCAAUCUGCGCGGGCCACCAUGCUAGUUUUUUUUUAAAAAAAUAAAACGCUGAGUGGUUUGCCACGCGUGCGCCACGUAGGAUGAAACCACUCUAGAUUGGGUUGAGGGGGAUAAUUUGUCCUGUAUUGAAAGUUUGGGAUGAGAAAUGUCUGGUUUUCGGGUUUAGAAGGGUAAUUCAAUCGACCGCGAUAGUUAGGGGGGUAAUUCGUACUUUUUUUUUUCUUUUGUAAACCCCUGCUAGCCAGGGUGCCAAAGUAUGUACAGUACUUGGAGGAAGGAGGUUGUUGGGAAGUACGUAGCAGGGGGCAGGCAGGGCAGGCACAGGAAUGAUCGCAUGGACCGGGCGCGGCGGUUGUGAUGUCGCCUCCGGCACAAAACGCCGCGGAAGCAGAUGAUCGAUCGAUAUAGGCCAACCCAAGGGCAUGAUGCGCAUGGCUACUGUACUCAUGUGUAGGUGCAUAAUAUCUUUCGAUUCCCACCGACUCUCCGAUCCAGGGGUGCACUACUGUGCCCUACGCACUGCCUACGGCCAGAUCCCAUCAAAAUUGCAAGCCAGAUGCAGCUAGCAGAGAGUCUGAGUACUGUGCACAUACAAGUGCACAUGCCUAACCGUGACUUUGUAGCUUUCCUUCUUCUCUAUGUGUGUAAAGAUAUACUCCAGUUUAGUACAAAGUAGUACGUAGUAUAUGUUAAUUUCUGGUAUAUAUACACGUAUAACUAACUCGAAUCUUAGAUGCAUCAUGUGGUACUACGUACGUGCACCGUCUUUCAUUUCUGUAGAACGAGUUAACGGUUCAUUAAUUUUGAUUUGGAUAAGCCUGCUGGAUAAGUUUUAAAGUAUACUUCAUCCGUCCCAAAAUAUAAGUAUUUUUAGCAUAAUAAAAAAUCAAACAUUUUCAACUUUGACUAUUAAUAACAAGAAAAAUAAAAAAGAGUAGUCAUGUAAAAUUGAUGUUAGUAGAUUUAUUACUAAACAAACUAUCAUAAUAUUCAUAAUAUUCAUAAUAUGUAACUCUUUUUAUUUAAAAUAUCUUCAUUUUAGUACGGAUGGAGCUAGCUAGCCAAACCCGUCCCUGGAGUAAUUCCCUGUCCUCACCUGCACGGUCUUCAUCUCCCUUUUUUCCUCCUUUUUCUACGAGGUGAUGAGACAUGUUACUUUGCAUAUCUCUCACCAUCCUCAUCGAUCUUCCACAGUUCACGUUGCCGUGCUACUUCUGAUUCCAACCAACUAGGCAUGCAUGUUGUUACAUUACACCCACCAAGGCACCAAUUACCAUCACUUGCAAGUAGUAGUUGCAAAUCCCUCUAUGGCUUUGGUAGCUAGCCAUAUAGUAUGUGUGCAUGCAUCACACUCUUGGUCGCCCUGCAGGCCACUCUCUGCAUAAUGAGCUCUAUGACAAGAACAACUAAUGUCCGGGGAGGAGGCCAUUGCGAUUCAACAAAUUUACAAAGUGACUACAACUUUUAUUUUAUAUAGAAAAAAAAUCCUACUUUAUUUGUAAUUGUAUGCCACUGAUGUAUGUCACUUGGAUUUGUAGCACUGAGACGAUGUCACUAGCCAGCUGGGCUUACCAUAGAGCUUUCAUAUAUCAACAUGCUAAUUAUAAUUAUAUAGCUUGAUUAUGCUAGCUUCUUAUAUAUAGAAUUUUAAAUGUAACGGUGCAAAAGCACUUACAAAUUCAACGGUCUUAUAAGAAAAAGGAAACACAUACGACCCAAAUGACGUACUCUUGGACAUGCAUAUGUCACCUACCGAUACAGUUUCGUUUUUUAAUUUUAAGUUUCGUCCUUUGGUUCAUGACCAAACCUAUCGUCGGCACCAGCUGCUAAUAUAAGCGUGAUGAAUCAUUCGACCUACCAAAUGAGCAUUUAGUACGUGCCCAUUUCCAAUAUGAUCUUUUCCUCCGUAUACGUAAGUGCUGCAAUUAAACAGAUCAACUGGCACAUCCAGUGUUAUUUGGUCCAGUGGCGACGAAAAGUUUGAUCUCAAGAUUACAGAUUAAUUUACAGAGUCUGAUCGAAUACACACAAAUAUAUACUACAGUACUACAUGACUUGUUGAUUCAUUCAUGUGCACAUAUAUAAUGCUGAUCAAACUUAACCAGCAAAAUGUUCUAAAUCGUACUCACUGAUUCUAUGUACGUACAUGCAUGAUUAAUCACGUCUGUUGCACCAAACAGUUUACUUAAUAUACUAGUACAAGUACUUGAAGUUAUAUAUGAGAUUGUGGUAUAUAUAUAUAUUACUCUCUCGGAUCCACUGACUACGAAAAAACGGUGUCCAGGCUAACUAUCGGUUGUUAAUUAAUUUGUGUGAAAUUAACAACCCAGUGGCGGAGUCAAGAAUUUUACCCUGUGGGGUACCAUUGCUUCAUAAUUUAGUGGGAUCAUUUACAUAAAUUUUAGUGAAUUUACAUGUAUAAAUCAAGAGUUACAAUGGUGUAUUGGUGUUUGUGAAAAAGCUGUGGGAACAAGCGAUCCCACAGCCUCAUACAUAGCUCCGAAUAAUUAAUUAACACCUGGAAAUGGUAUAACUAGUUUUUGUGUGGAGAAACACUAACCUGAAUUUAUAUUAAUUAGUACCUAUUUAGGAUUCAUUACAGUAUUCACUUCGAUAGUAAAUAUCGUAUGUAUAAGAUUCAGUCAAACUUUUAAAAUCAUUAUUAUAAUAUUGUGACAUUACUUCUUAAUCCAAAUUUACGCGUACCUUUUUUUUAAAGGAAUUAUCAAGUAUUUAGUAAAUAACAUAUAGAGUUUUAGAGGUUUGACGAAAUCUCUGUCUUACUCAUAUGAUCAGGUAUAGCAUAACAUAGUACUAGUAUCAAAGUCGCACAUGCCAUCUGGUUGGUUGGCUUUGAAAAGUAAAAAAGGAAAAAUAUACUAUGUAGUUUCAUAAUUGUGUUAUGUGGAGAGGCCAAAAUAGAGCAUCUUAGUUAGUGACUAAAUUAUGUACCUGCUUUGUAACAAUAUAUAACGAUUAGGUUUUCUAUCCAUUCAAAAGUUCCUAGAGUUGUUAAAUUUAAAUUUAAAAUUAUGGGCCCAUCAGAUCCGUUAAAUACCUUAUUAGCUGUUACAUUCCUGACAAUUGCACAGAUUAAUUCAUUAAAAUUUGCAAACACCAUUACUUCAUAAUUUAGUGGGAUCAUUUUCAUAAAUUUUAAUGAAUUUACAUGUAAAAACCCAGAGUUACAAUGGUGUGCUAUGUGGAUCGGGGUAGUAGUAGUAGGGGGAAGUCGACCAUUGCACAAAUUAACUGGGCCCAUCUUAUGCCCACAAAACGCAGCACAAGAUGGCCCAAGUUCAUCGCAUUGUCGAUUUGAUCAUUCCGCAGAUUUAGGCCGUGUAUAGUUCUUUUCAAAUUAUUUUUUGAAGUAUAGGGACACAUUUGAAGUAUUAAAUAUAGACUAAUAAUAAAACAAAUUAUAUAUUUCGCCUGUAAACUGCAAACGAAUCUAUUAAGCCUAACUAAUCUGUCAUUAGCAAAUGUUUACUGUAGCACCACAUUGUCAAAUCAUGGUGUAAUUAGACUCAAGAGAUUCGUCUCGUAAUUUACAUGCAAACUGUGCGAUUGUUUUUUUCGUUCAUAUUUAAUGUUUUAUGCACGUGUCCAAACAUUUAAUGUGACGGAAAAGUUAGAAGUUUGAAAAGAACUAAUGCUAAAACAAAAAGGAAAUGAUUUUUUUUUUUUUGCAGGGGGGGGGGUGGGUUGGGGGUGUGCUGACCUUCUAAUAACUAAUUACAAAAACUAGUAAAAGAAUAGAAUAGAAUAUGCCGUGCAAAGGUACAAUUUUAGCGCCAAAAGCGACCAAAACAAGGAUAAUCGGAGGAUCAUGGCCAGCAAGCAUUGCAGCUUCAACUGCAGAGAAAAUAACACCAAAGCACAAGCUGCAAACUCUGACGCUAAACACAGCAAUUUAAGCAAUGCAAAGAUUGCUUCAUCUCAUAUGUGUUCGAUGGAAGUCAUUGCAGAAUUCUACAAAAAAGAUAAAACUUGCAUGAUAACCUCAGCAAAUCUUCCGCGAUAACGACUGAUGUUCUCUCAACUCUCUCCCUCUCUUAAUCUCCCUCUCCUAAAAGAUGGACCCAUAAUAAUAAACCUAUGGUUGGUCAGGUUAGUGAACUGUUAACCACAAACUAAUGAUAUUGCAAGCAAUUCUGUCACAGGUGAAGAUCAGUGCAGGCAAUGUUGGUUGUUGCUGUCAAAUUUUCACAUGCCGUAGCCGCCUCUAGGAGGAACAACAGCGCCGCCGUUCAAGCUGAGCUUUGACAUGUCGAGCAUCUGCCAGUUGAUCGCAGAUGGGUCUCCUCCUCCAAAUGAGUUGGCCUCAAAGCAAGAGGUGACGCUCCUGCUCCUGCGGUGGCGCACUGAGAGCUGCUUCAGCCUCUCGGUUUCCUUCUUCAGCAUCUGCGUUUGGCCUGCGAAAUUCCGUCGAAAACCAUUCAUUGCGAUGCACGAGAUGAUAACAUGAUUUUAACGCGAUUUAACAUAUAGUUCAAGCAAGGCAUAAAAGUUGGCAUUGUCACUUUCAUUUACAAAUGUUAGGACAGCCAAACAUGGAAGAUCAAACCUACGGCAUGAAUGGUGCAAACUAAUGCUUUCGCAACUAUUGACACAACUGAAAGCUUUUGAAGUUAAGAUAUCAAACUGACACGAGCUUCUAGAUAUUUAUGAAUACAAAUCCAAAUUUUAUUCUGUGUUGAUUGUAUCAUAAUGAUUUAAUUGGUAUCCGAACUGAAACAUGCUGAUCAUCAAACAGUACAUCCAACAAAAAUCCAGCUGGAUAGAAGGUUACAAGGCUUGCCCCUGCCCUAACAAUUUGGUAAGUGUAUUAGGCCACCAAACAACUUAGAAGCAACAAUAGAAGACCUCCAGAAUCAAACAUAGUAAAGCACGGAAAUACAAAAUCUGGUGGCCAUUGUAACAUUUAUUGUCAAACUAGCAUUGCAUGAAGCUGGAUGCAUAAGAAUUGCCUUCAUGGCAGGAUGAGCUAUAUCUACGAUUCAUUCUGUAUGAUUCAGGUUUUUUUUUCUGUGACACAUACGAACCUUGUGCACAUAGCUUGGCUAGCUAUAUCUACGAAACAGUAACAAUCCUUCAAAUAACCCGCAUUCAACAUCUGAGCAUAGCUUGCAUGACAGCAAAAGCGUGAAACAUUAUAUAGACCAACAAAAAAUAGUCACAUCAUCUCUGCUACAGACUGAAUUCACCUGUCAUCUUAUUGAACAGAACUACAAUUUAUAACCAAAUGAUAGGUGUUGUUUCUGAAUUGUACUUAGGUAUUGAUUAAAGAGCACGCAAAAUCUAUGUAACUAAACAAGGAUGCAUACUCGAAAAGGUUUAAUUUGUGCUGGCAAUUUAUGAAAGGGCAAACAGAUUGACAUACCAUCCUUAAUUAGUUUUGCCUGCUGAAGACUAGUGAUCUGCCUCCUCAGUUGCUUGUUUUCCAUUGAUAGAGCAUUACGAAGCUGGAAAAGAGAUGCCACCCUCACAGCCAAAUCAGCCCCUAUGUUCUGAAAAUCAGAAAAUAAAUUUAUGCCAUUAAGAGCAGGUACAAUAGCAAGCUAUAAACCGGCUGUAACCAUAUAUUGAGAAGAAAAGAGAAGAGAGAGAAGAAAGCGGGCUACAGAUUUGUAGCCGGCUGCAACACGGACUCCAAGAUGUUAUGUGUGUAUGAGAGGUGGGACCGUGUAUUAAUGGUGUAGUAUAUUUUUAUAGUUAACUAUUGUAUGAAUGAGCUAUUAGAUUGGCUAUAGAUGUUUUGGAGCCAGUAGUUGGCUAUACUAUUGACCUUGCUCUAAAGAGUUAAGCACUACUUAAUCCAAAAUGGAGUAAUAAUAAGGAUUAACAGCACUACCUGAAGUGAGUCAACAGUUCUCUCAAGAUCAGCAAUGUAUUGAAGUUUUCUGACCCUUGAUCUUUGGCCUGAGCGCCUGCACAGAUGUUAACAUGUCAUCUCGAUAUUCAGACACAUUCUAUUGUUCUUAAUAUCUAGAGCAGAAUUUUCAACAGUUGACGAAAUUCAGUUUCAUGUAUGAAAUAUGACAAUAGUACAUGAAAAGAAUCUACAGAGAUAAGAUGGUCUUGACUUGGUAGCAUCAUGCUUCAUAGAGUUAAAAACUUAGUAAUGGAUUUUCAUCAGCAGAAGUGUGGGCAUCAAGAUGGUCAUACUAUCAGCUCCUCAACCACAUAUAUUAUCUAAGAUCUGUCAGUGUUCCAACAGAUACAAUGGGAUGCCCUUGGUAACAGGAUUCUUGCAUAAUUCACUUGUCACAGUUAAAAAGCCUUAGUGCGAGAAAUAGAUCCUUUUUUUAUUCUGAGAACUAGAACCCAAUUGAUAAUCUUUGAAGAAUACAUAUAUCACAGUCCUGAUUUCCAGAUUUUCUGCAGUGCUGUUUCGAUUUCAUGACUGCAAGUUCAAUGAAAGUUGUCACAUCAUUAACACAAGGGCACUCUUUUAAAUGAAUUUCUUGUCAGCGUCAAUAGCUGACACCGUUAUCUUUACUAAGCUCAACUAGUGCCACUAAACAAAUAAACUGUGAACCAAUACCAGACCAAAUUUCUUUAACUUUCUGAAACUUAAAAGACAAACGAAAUGAACCACCAUAUAUGAAAAAUUUGUGAGAAAUGGUCCAAAAAGAAUCCUAAAAUAGAUCUUUCAAAAUCCAGUGCCCGCUUAAAUAUGAGUGUUCAAUGAGCCCAAAGUAGAGAAUUUUGGUCAUGCUCCAAAUUGAAUAUUUGUGUAAAUAAAUAUUAUACCAACAAGUUCACAUAAAAUUAAAGGGCAUGGCUAGUCACGUCAUAUGCCAAAUGCCUCCUCCCUGAUGCUCAUCACCGACCGCUACUCCUCUCAUCCCAAUGUCCCUCAAAACCUCCACCCCAUGCUCCUUCCAGUAACAGCCCACCAUCCAGCCUCACUCACGACUUCAGGUAUAGGUGUCAAGCUCUCAUCCCCAUUUCUUUGCUUCACCUCCUGCAGUACAGCACCACCCUCACCAUCCUCCCACUGCCUCUUAGCCCCACCCAACCUAACUCCAUGAGAUUCCCUUCGUGCCACUUUCUUCCUGAUGUUCAGUGGCUAAGUUCUCCACUCUCCACAUCCUGCCCAAUAACUGCUUCACUGUCAUUGUCACUUCUUGUGACCAGCAGCACCUCACUGCCUCGCCCUCACUCUCCUCCCAUGGCCCCCUAACCACACCCAACCUAACUCCAGCGAGCUUUGUCCGCAACACUACCCAUCUUCCUCAUAUCCGGGUGGCAAUAGCCACCAAUUGCUCCCCCCCCCCCUUUUACUCCAGAAUGACAGGGAGCUCCCCCACCCCCCACCCACAUUGAACUUAACAAGGCCACAGGAGGCAGAGGUUGCAUAUACCCAAUGUGCUAUAGACUAAGCCAAAAAUAUCUUAUAUCUGGAGUUGUUACUGCUGAAUAGCUGAUGAUAGAAACCUUAAAUUGUUAGUGGCAAAGACAAAAGGCAAACAGAAGUCACUAAGAUUAGCGUUCAAGCUUAACCCUCCACUGCAGAAUGCUAUAAUAUAUCAGAUAUACUGGUACAUCGCGUCAGCAUUUGCCAAAACAGCCAACUGUACUGAUUCUCUUUGAUAUAAUACUACCUAGCAAUACAUUCUUUUCACCUGGACUCCCACUUAUAUAUAUGAAAUAGUGAGAGCAUAUUACAUUGGUUACUGUUGAAUUUUGAUUUCAGGGAAUUGAUUUGAAAAGACUUGGAAUCACAAACGCUAUGAACAAUGCACGGCAGAGAAUCAUAAAUAUAAAGCGGUGUACCUUUUAAGUGACUUCUCUUGAUCAGCGUGGCAUACAGCAUCACCUGUGUCUCCAGUUCCAUUGGCUGCACCAACAUUACAGUUCACACCACUUGUGGCAUCAAUCAUCAGGUACUGCAAUGGGUUGCUAGGGACAUUCUCCAAGACAGCGUUAACCAUGGAACUCUCUGAACUGGUCAGCCUAGUCUUCUGUCUCGGCGAAUUUGGUCCAUAAACACAGCUACCUUCGAUGCCAGCACCACUUCCACCCCCUUCAGCCGCAGCAUUGAACGACUCCCCAGCUUCGCCAACCGGCUGCGGAUCCCCUUCAUCGAUAGGGUAGAUUGGGCUCUGGAACGACGUCAGCACAUCCAAGAUAGCAUCAGAAUCGCUGCAGGCUCUCCUGAGAGGAGGAAGGGUGUGGCUCUUCCCGGAGUCCGCGAGGAGAUCAUCGAGCCAGCACGGCGGCUCACCGACGAAUGGAUCCUCCGACGGAAACCUGCAGCUCUGCGUGAACAAGCUGUCGUCCCUCCUUGUGAUCUGAGGACCCAGCGGCGGGCAGCGGGGAGGGAGGUGCGGCGACCGAGACAUGGCGAGAGAACACGCUCCCGACGUCUGUUCACCUCUCUUGUGCUACUUAACUACAGCCCCUCCAACAUCAUCUCCUUUAUCCCGUUCAUCUGCAAAAACCAGAAACACAUAUAGCACAUAAAACAUGUGACAAGAAACACCAAAAACAUCCAGCAAGUACUAGAAAUCAAGGCCCCCUUGUAAACUACAUUGCCGCAGAAACAUUUCCUGUUGCAAAAUAAUAAAAGGAUCGAUCUUCUGUGGGAUCAGAACCCAGUAAGUGAGGACAAACAUCAAAAGGGUGCAACAUGUAAAACAAUUGCAAAUUAAUCUUGAAGCGCAAACUACAGAAGCAAGUGCAGAGGAGGAAGACCUAAUGUGUGGAGGUGGUAAUGGGGGGUUCGGAUGUACACCCAAAAAAAAAAAAACCUUUUUGGUUGGAAACACGAGCAUCUAUCAGUUAAAGGACAUGAAAGAAAUCCCAGAAGAGAACCGAGGCUCGGUUAAUUGCAGGGAAAGCAAAGGAAAACCAAUCCCCCAAGUCCUCCGGAUGGACUCCCAAAACCCACACCACGCCCGGAUCAUCGAGCCGCGCGGCGCCGCGCCAAGGAGAAAAGAGAGAACCUUCGAUUCGAUUCGGUUCGGUUCGAACCGAGGCGGCGGCGUCAGGUAGGUGGCGGUGGAAGGAGGCCGGCGCCGCGUCGCGUGCUCGUCUGCCCCUGCUCGCCGGCAGCGAACGCGCGUGGAGGAGGAGAGGAGGACGUCCGGCCGCUCGCACCGUGCCUGCUGUCGCCGGCGGCGGCGAGUGGGAGGGGAUUCGGGCGGCGGCGCAGGGUGGCGGAGGAGGAGGAGGAGGGAGAGGAGGGGUUCUAGUAGUUUAGGAGGAGGAGGAAUUAUAUUACUCCUAGGAAGGAAAGAAAAAGAAGAAGAAAAAAUGAUUUUAUGUCCCAAAAAGACGGGGCUAGUACGCGGGAUGGGCCAGGCCCAGCAACCACGCCCCAUGCGUGUUUACUCCUCCCCAUUUUUGGCAACCAAAUAUCUCUCGCCUCGCUUUUUGGGCAGAAAGAGAGAUGUAAAAAUAAUACAGUAAUAAUACUGUAAGAGAAAAAUAUCUUGUCUUGAUUUCUCUUAGUAGUUAUUACCAGCCGAGGUAAGAUUAAAUUCACGUCAGGUUCGCAGAAAACACCACGAAAUUACCGUGUUUGAUGAACACGGCUGUGUUCGGGAGGCAAUGUUCCCAACGUUUAUCUCCUGACAUGAAAAACAAAGCUAGGUUAAUUGAGUAUUGGCCUUAAAAAACUUAAAAAAUAGUUAAUAUAAUUUUCUUUUGAAAAACUUUCCUAUAGAAUACUUUUACAAAAUACGUAUUGUUUAGCGGUUUGAAAAACGUGCGUGUGGAAAACGAAUGAGAUGAGCUGAGAAAUAAAGGGGAAGAACACACGGGUUAUACAAAGGUUCACAAUUUUGAUAUCUGAUCAAAAUCUGCUCACAAUCAGGUAUUACCGGUUUUAUAGAAUCCGUUGACAAAAAAACCGAUAAAAUAUGACUAAACUUUGUUAAAAUUUUAAAUUUUAUCUUCAUUUUGUUUGAACUUGAUCGAAAAACCAAGUUGUUUUGUGUUUUUGACCCGGUCCGGAAAUUCGGAUUCCACUGAAUUAUGAACCCUGAUUGCAAUCGAAUUUGGAGCGGAGUUUUACUUAAAAAAAAAAUGACGCGCAGAGUGGAUGCGACGCAAAGCUUCUAGAAGUUUCCGUUUGCUGCACUCCUCAGCUUGAUCACUGCUCACUCACACACAUGCCAUCCGGCCUUCGAAGUUCGAAGUUUUGGAGUCCUCUCGAGUGCACUGCACACAAGGUAAGCUAUGCUCAAGGUUCACCUUUUCGAUUCAGCCUUAACUGUACGAUGGUUUCUGAAAAAUUUCAAUACAAAUUUUGGUCAAGUCUACUGUUUGAAACUUGAAUACUCGAAAAUCGUUCGAAAUAGUAUUUAGGAAUCUGCUUUCGUCCCGCGUGGAAAAGCACACCGAGUGGGCCUCGAAAUGCUUUCCGCUGAUUCCAGUUCACUGUAUUUUUAACUGAACUUUAGGAGCUUUUUAACAGCUCUACGCCUACGAUCUACGAGCUUAAUUGGCACUGGAUUAUUGCCAAGAUGCUGCUAGCUGACAGCCCGAUUCGUAAUUUAACUCCAAAUGGUUGAGCGGAUCGACGACGACGCUGAUGGUGGAGUAAAGAAAAGAAAGGGAGGCGAUAUGUCCGUUGGAUUCCGGGCAGGGCAGACUUGUUCAGUUGCUGCUACUGCAGGCUAUUCCAGACUUGUGUUCUGUGUGUGCCAACUGCCAACGUGGGUGCACAUUGGUCUUUGUAUUUACUUGGAAUCUUCCAUCACUCAGGGCUGUUCAAAUCAAUACCAAAAUUAACCUUUUCAAAAUUUGACAAUACCAAAAAUAAAUUUGGUAUGUUGGUAGCAUUAAAGUUUUGAUAGGAUAGCUUAAUGUGAUGGAUCUAGGGGAAAAAAACAAAGAUGAUGGAGGGACGGAGCCAGGAAUUGGAGCUACCAAGGUCAUAUCGUAGCUACAUUGUACUAUACUAUCUAUACUAUACCAAGGUCAUAACGAUGUUUUCAUGAGCCUAGCGGCCCCAAUAUUUUGCUUAUUCAGGAAAUAAGCCAAAUGACAUAUUUGCAAGCGAAAAAUAAAAUUUAUGAAUAAAACUUUUAUAUAUGUGUUUUUAAUGAUCUAAAAGCAAAUGCUGAAAAAUAAGCUUCGACAGGCCCGGCUCUGGGGCAGGGCAAAGAGGGCGACGCCUAGGACCCGUUUUGGCUAGGGGCCCAUGCCUAAAUGAGUACUGUAUGAGCCAAAGUGGUAUUUAAUAUUAGUGAAUAAUUCCAUACUAUCUACUACUCCUGGUUAUCUACAUAAUUCUGAUUAGUGAAUUAAUAAAGAUUCCAGAUUCAACAAUCAAAAUUGUAUGUAUAGAUAGAUUCUUGUUCAUAAUAUAUAUUUCCUUAAUAAUUUUAGGUGCUGAAAAGCUGUAAUUUUACUCAAGAUGCAUUUUUAUGGUGCUAAGUAAAUGGGAAAAAUAAACAAAAUCAGUUUAAGUGUUGAUAUUUUUCUAUUUCUUUGAACAUAUAUAUAUGAAAUAUUUUCAAUGUUCAUUUUUCUCUAUGAUUAGAUUUGAAAACACACUUUAAAAUUAAAGGGGUUGUUCAGAUUGUAGCCAAAAUAAAUCUAACCAAAUUUUUGCAAUGCUAAAAUUUUGACAAUCUAGCAAUAUUGCCAAGUUUUAGUAGGAUUUCUUACGUAUUUACUAAAGUUUGGUAAUUAACUAAAUAAAUGCACAUCAUUGACAAUUUUGAUAUGGUUUGAAAUGUCAUUAAUCUAAACAACCAAAAAGCGUGAAUAUACAUAUAACACGUCUCUCUGUAGGGGAGAGAGGGUUAAGGGUCAUGUUAUCAAGUUUGCCCUAGGGCCCUCAAAAUUGUAGAGCCGGCCUUGAACUUCGAUAAAAAAAAACCAAAAUCAUCUAUAGAUUUAAGGUUUAAAAUUUAAAUUUUAGCUAAUAAACAUAAGAAUAAACGAAAAGAUUAGGCUAUAAAUGAGACACUUCACUUUCUACUGUCAGAUUAUGGUUUUCCUCCUUGUGAUUUAACAAUACUAACAUUGAAAACAUAUUGAGAGAGAUCACUAAUAAAUCAUACUAGUAUCUUACUAUACUAUCUACUCCACUAGUAAGAAAAGUUAUUCUUAUGCAAACUUUAAAGCACAUAGAACUGCUUUGAGUUUUUUACACCACUAUACGGUGCUACGAUAUAAACCUAAUGAAAAAGUAAUGUUGCUAACAAUCCUUUUCUCUAGCUACAUUUCUACUAAUUAUUUAACUGAUAACAAAACGCAAAUCAGCCGAGUGAAAGUAGGUUGAUUCUACCAAAUUAUUGGCAAACAAAACUAUAAGAAAUAAGUUGAGUAACCAAAGAAAACUGGGUUUGUGUAGACGUGAUCCUAGCUAAUGCGUGAAACAAUAUUGCAGCUUUCCCAAGACAAUCUAUUUUUUUUACGCUACAAUAAAUCGUUACUUCCUUCGUCCCAAAAUAUUAACAUUUAGGAAAAUUUGCCAUAGGACACCCAAAUUUCGUGUAAUUAGCUAGGAGACAUCAUAAAAUCGCGUCGUUGCUGAUGGACACCAUAAAAUUCGUAAAAUUUGCUAUAGGACACCAGAGACAAUAUUUUAUUAUUUCCGAGCAAAAACAGGAGAGAGAAAUUUUAAAAAGACAAAAUUGCCCUCAGCCCUAUCUAACCCCACUAGAGUCACACUUUUGCCCCUCACGCCCCCCAGCCGCCCCGUCCACACCCCUAACCCGGCGCAGAGAGGCCUGGUGCUGAUUUCGAUGACUACUGGUGAGCCCCGGGGUAGCGGCUUCGGCAGUGGUUGGCGAGCUUGGCGAUGGCUUCGAUGAUGGUCGACGAGCCCGGCAACAACGGCUUCAACGACAAUGGUGGCGGCGGAGGCCACGGCUUCGACGAUGGCCGACGGCAGCGGCGGGUUCGACUGCGGUUAGUGAGCAGCGCUAGGAAGCGCGUGGCGACGACGGCUUUGAUGACAGUCAACGAGCCCGGUGGCAGUGGAUUCGACAGUGGCGGUGAUGGCGGAGGCAACAGCGCUGGGAAGCGGGCGGUGGCGGCGGUGGCUUCAAUGAUGGUCGGCAAGCCCGACGACAACAAUUUCGACGGUGGCAGUGAUAGCGGAGGCAGCAGCAAGCGGCGUUGGGAAAUGGGCGGCGGUGACAACUUCGAUGACGGUCAAAAAGCCCGGCGGCGGUUGGCGAGCAGAGCUGGGAAACAACUGCGACAAUGGGGAAUAGAUAGGGCUAAGGGCGAUUUUGUCUUUUUGAUAUUUCUCUCUCCUCUUUUUGAUAAGAAAUGAUAAAAUAUUAUCUCGGGUGUCCUACAACAAAUUACACAAAAUUUAUGGUGUCCAUCAGCAGCGACGUGAUUUUUCAAUGUCUCCUAGCCAAUUACACAAUUUUUAAGUGUCCUAGGGCAAAUUUUGCCAACAUUGUUUAGGUUGGCAAGUGUAUUAAGAAAGCACUACGUGAAAAUGAUUGGAGAAAGUAUAUGCUUGAUUGAAAAGAAAAAAUAUGUGAAGGAUAGUUAUUGUGAUUGGUUGAGAAGAGGAGGUAUGCAGAGAAAUAACUUUAUUUUUAUGACAAUAUACAUACUGUGAUAGAAAUAGUUAUAUUUGGGACGUACUCCGUAGUUUUCUGGGUUAGCGAGCCUGUACCGAUAGGGUCAUUGAUUUAAAAACAGAGAGUAAAACAUUGAUUUGGUUAAAUGUCUCGGUGUCAUCUAACCCUAUGGGAGUAUUGUAGCUCCGCCCUUGGACGCAGUAAAAAUUCCCCUGAUCUCAACUUCCCAAUUAACACCGGUAAUGGGGACUUGACACUUGAGCAUUGAGCUCCUAUUGCCCUCAUAGCAGAUCCGUUAAUGUCACCAAGGUUACGGUUAUCACCAAGGGCCGAGUUUAGUUUUAAAUUUUUUCUUCAAACUUCUAACUUUUUCUUCACAUCAAAACUUUCCUACACACACAAAAAUCUAUCUUUUCCGUCACAUUGUUCCAAUUUCAAUCAAACUCUCAAUUUUGACGUAAACUAAACACGCUCAAGAUGAAGUAACCAUAGAAUCUAACCUAGUACCAAAGUCAAAACCAACAGAAAUCUAAUUUGGACAAUUUGUUCGGUUUUUCCAUCGUCAACACAUGGUUGCGAAGCGGCACGAAACUUCGAAGCUACUGGGAAGAAAUUCGGAACGGCACGAAACUCUUUUUUGUUCUUUUCGCAUGAAACAAAAAAAAAAAAAGAGAAGCCAAUCUGAUGGACGAGAGAUGAAGCAAACCUCAGCCGUCCAUUUGUCUCCCACACACAAAAGCAUAUUCUGAUAUUCCCAUCCACGUCAGCAUUUCCCCACCCCAAACACGCGAUCCCCAUUGGCCCCCCGCGAAUCCAAACCUCGCCGCUCCAAACACUGACACCCCCGGCCCCACCUGCCAGCCUCCCCACCAACCGCCACGUCAGCGUGCUUCACGCGUGACGUCACGUCGUCGUCUUCUCCGUCUCCUCUCCUCUUCUUCCUCUCGCCAUCUCACUCGACUCGCCCAAGAACUCGGAGGUGUUCGACGCGGUCGCCGCCGCAGCAGCAGCGAGCCAUGGAGGCGAGGGCGUCGCCGUCUCCGUCGCCGCAGCGGCCUGCGUCGAUGGGUAGAGGCGGCGGAGGAGGCGGAGGAGGAGGGGACGCGAGCGCGGCGCUGUCGUUCAUCUACAAGGGGUGGAGGGAGGUGCGGGACUCGGCGAGCGCGGACCUGCGGCUGAUGCGUGCGCGGGCGGACUCGCUGCGCACGCUCGCCGACCGGGAGCUGGAGCACCUCCUGGUGUCGGCGUCCACCACGGUGGCGGCGCCCGCGCCGCCCGUCGCGGCGGGGGCGCCCAUCGCGGAGGUGGAGUUCGUGCGCAACCGGAUCCAGCCCAAGAUCUCCGAGCUGCGGCGCCAGUACGCGGCGUCCGGGGACUGGGAGCUCGGCCUCGGCAGGAGGGUGCUCGAGGGCUGGGUGGCGCCUCCGCCGCCCAGGGGCGCCACCACCGCCCGCGUCGACCUCUCCGGGAUCACCGCCAUACGCAACGCCCUCGUCCCUGAGGUCGCCGGCGGCGGCGGGGCGAGCACCGCCUGGUGGAGCGGGGAUGAGAUGGAGGAGGAGGAGGAGAAGGAGUGGGAGGUGGUGAGGAUGAUUCGCGGCGGCCUCAAGGAAUUGGAGCGCCGCAGCCAGAGCAGCGGCGAGAUCUUGGGGGGAAUCCCUGGCCCCAGCGAGCUCGUCGAGAAAUUCAAGUCCAGACUGGUAAUUUCCGCCCUAAACCUAAUUGUUUCUCUUAUGCAAGUUCUUUGUAUGAAAAAAAAAAACAAGAAUUCGAGACUUGGUACUUGCAUGACCUGUAUACAAAGCAAUAACAGUAGAACAAUCUGUUAAUGAGUGGUGAUUGCUAAAAGGGACUUGCUCGCAUUGCGAGCUCACUCUCAUGCCAAUCUCAGAUGCUGGCCGAAUGUAAAAAUUAAUUUUAAAAUGUAAGGAAAAAUUAUAGCUACAAACCCUAGUAAGAAAAUGUAGGCAAUAAUUUAUGAUUGCUAUCUUCAUUUUUAGUUCAUUCUUACAAAAGUAUAAGCAUGAUUUUUAGUUCUUUGUGUGCCAAUGUAUAUGAUUCCUAACUUGAUUACUAUAUAUCUUGAUUGAAUGAUUAUGUCAUUUGGUUCAUCCAAUUAGAAAAAAAAAGGUGGUGUUGUCACAAGUGUUUGUUUUAAGAGCAAAAGGUGCUAUCUGGCUUAAUCACAUUCUCACCUAUAUUUGUUCCCUUGGUGCAGAAAUCAUUUAACAUGGAGCCUCUUGGAUCCAAGGUAACUCCACAAACCAUAAAAUUAAUAUGACUAUAACUAUACUGUUUACUGAUAGAACAUUCAUUUACCAUCUGAAGACAUCCCUUUGCAUUAUAUGAUUACAUUAUUUCAAAACAAUUCUGGGGAAAUCAACGUUCAGUAAAUUUUUUCCCUCUAUGAUAUGAUGAACUGCAGCAAUCUGGUGUCAAGGAAUCCUCUGCCUUCAAAGGCACCAUGCCUUUGUCACUGAUAGGUGGGCCCAUGGUUCAUCGGGCCCACAUGUCAGUGACAUAGGCACAUACCUUUGAAGGUAGAGGAGCCUGAUCCGUCAAGGAACAUGCCAUGAGAAGGGAACUAGACUUUAAAUCUGUAUAGACACUGUUAGAUGAUAAAUGGAUUUUCAUCCAGUGCCUCAUUUCUCCUGAAAAGUGCCUAGUCUUAAACUCUUUAGUUAUAUACUGCUUAGUUAUGCCUUAAUAUGGAAUGAUAGUGUGAAUAAGUAGGAUGUUUCAUAAAAGAAAGCAACCAACAGUCCUAUCAAAAGACACUCUAUAGCCAAAUUUUUGUUCUGAACUUUUGAUGCUUGGUUAACAUCAUUGCAUGUAUAAUCUUUGAGCAUAAUAAUGCAGGAAGUUCCUCCUCUUGAUCUGACUGAAAUUAUGGCAAAUCUAGUUAGGCAAUCUGGGCCCUUUUUGGAUCAACUUGGUCUAAGGAGAGGUAUGCAUAAAAAGCAACACUGUUGUAUUUCAUUCCAUUUAUUAGGUGAUGGCCCUCUUAUAUGCUAUUGGUACUAUGGUGCAGAACUACGUGACAAACUAGUGGAGACAUUGUAUAGCAGACAAAAUCAUUCCCUUUCAGCAGAUUCAUCCUUACUCGGAGAUGAUAACUCAACGGAUGAGCUUGAUUUAAGAAUUGCUAGUGUGCUACAAAGUACUGGUUAUCAUACAGAUGAUGGUUUAUGGAACGAACCUUCAAAAUACGAGGUUUCAGACAAUAAAAGGCAUGUUGCAAUAGUCACCACAGCAAGCCUACCAUGGAUGACAGGAACAGCAGUUAAUCCAUUGUUCCGGGCAGCAUAUUUGGCAAGAAACUCAAAACAGGAUGUCACACUGGUGGUGCCUUGGCUUUGCAAGUCAGAUCAAGAACUUGUGUAUCCAAAUAGCAUGACCUUCAGUUCACCAGAAGAGCAGGAAACAUAUAUAAAGAAGUGGCUGGAGGAAAGGCUUGGGUUUGAAUCAAACUUCAAGAUAUCAUUUUAUCCUGGCAAGGUAACUAUCAUACAUUUUUUUGUCAAGGUGCAUAUCUUGAAUAACUCAACUGAUAUGCUGUAUGCCGUACCCUGCAGUUCUCCAAAGAGCGCCGUAGCAUCAUUCCUGCUGGGGAUACAUCACAGUUCAUUUCAUCGAGAGAAGCUGAUAUAGCAAUAUUGGAAGAACCAGAGCAUCUGAACUGGUAUCAUCAUGGGAAUCGUUGGACUGACAAGUUCAAUCAUGUAGUUGGCGUAGUUCAUACGAAUUACCUAGAAUAUAUCAAGAGAGAGAAGAAUGGUGCUCUUCAAGCUUUCCUGGUCAAACACAUCAACAAUUGGGUGACCAGAGCAUACUGCGAUAAGGUGCUGUAUCUAGCUCAACUUGUUCUGGUAUCAUCUGGAUGCACUUCAGUUUCAGUAUUGCUAAUGAAUGGCUUAUGCAGGUUUUACGUCUGUCUGCAGCAACUCAGGAUCUUCCUAAGUCUAUUAUUUGCAACGUCCAUGGUGUAAAUCCAAAGUUCCUUAAGAUUGGAGAUAAAAUAAUGGCCGAUAGGGAGAAUGGGCAGCAAUCAUUUUCCAAGGGAGCAUAUUUUCUGGGCAAAAUGGUAUGGGCCAAAGGUUACCGGGAACUGUUAGAUUUGUUGGAUAAACGUAAAAGCGACUUGCAAGGAUUCAAGUUGGAUGUAUAUGGAAGUGGCGAGGACUCACAAGAAGUCCAAUCUACCGCCAAGAAACUGAACCUGAAUCUAAACUUUUUUAAGGGAAGGGACCAUGCAGAUGACUCACUCCAUGGGUAUGUAUCACUCAAGAAAAACAGUGUGCUCUCAGGUUCCAUAUCAUUUCAUCAUCUGUGUUUACCUUUUGGUGAUCACUGAUCCAGCUGCCUUUCUUUUGUGCUACUUUCAGGUACAAGGUAUUCAUCAACCCGAGCAUCAGUGAUGUCCUGUGCACAGCAACAGCGGAAGCUCUCGCGAUGGGGAAGUUCGUCAUCUGCGCGGAGCAUCCAUCGAACGAGUUCUUCAUGUCGUUCCCGAACUGCCUGACGUACAGGACCCCGGAGGAGUUCGUCGCCAGGGUGAACGAGGCCAUGGCCAGGGAACCCCAGCCUCUCACCCCGGAGCAAAGGUACAACCUGUCGUGGGAGGCAGCAACCGAGAGGUUCAUGGAGUACUCAGACCUCGACAAGGUUCUCAGCCAACCUGUUACAGAAGGCGUGCACAGAAGCAAGACGAGAAGAACAAUUCAGAGUAAUCUGUCGGACGCCAUGGAUGGAGGAUUGGCGUUUGCUCACCACUGCCUAACUGGUAGCGAGGUUCUCAGGCUGGCAACGGGAGCGAUUCCUGGUACGCGCGACUACGACAAGCAACACUGCGUGGACAUGGGCCUCCUGCCGCCUCAAGUGCAGCACCCUGUAUAUGGUUGGUGAAGUAAACCAAACCUGCAUCUGCAUGCACUAAGUUACUGGAUAGUUUGUAGGUACAUAUGUACUGUACAUGACAAGUCAUGUAGAUCUUUGUAAAGUCUCGUACUGUAACAUGGGUAACUAGUCUAAGCUAUUGUUGUCAUUGUAUUGUACUGCUUGUAGUAAUAUUGUUUUUUGUCAGUAAAAUUGGAGCUUCAAGUAUAUAUGGUACGUUGGUACUAGGUUCCUUGUCAACAUGAAGCUCUCCUUUGUGCAGACAGCAAGUUAAUGGUAUAUACCUUUUCAAAGAGUGGGAGAAAACCUAACUUUGUAAAUAGAACAUGUGAUGAAAACAAGGUGUGGUUGGAUGCCUGAAAGGAUCCAGUUAGCUACUGAUAGUUGUAUGGUGGGUGUUCUAAGAAAUAUUAAGGUUAGAUUUAAACUGUUUUAUCGAAUUUUCAAAUUACUUCUUGUUUUAGGUUUGUUCUAAGUCCAGGGCUGGUUCUAUGAUUUUGAGGGCCCUAGGUGAACUCAUUGUGAUGGGACCUCUAAGCUAUACAUAAAAUUUUAUAAUAUAUAUGUAGACACUAAUUUUACUUGUAAAACGAAAACAAAUAUAUCCAUAUAUUAAAUUUAACAUGUCUGGUAAUUAUCAAGAAAUUAAGUCGACUAAAAUAACAAUAUAUUUGUACCUUGGAACUAAUAUCAUUAUUCAUUAACCUAAUGAAGAAUAGAACCCCAUCAUAUCCAUUGUUUCCCGUGAAAAGAUACUUCUUUGGGCAUAUCUUGAUGCAAAAUUAUCAAGAAACGGUAUUAAGAUCAAUAGUGUCCAAGAUAUCCUUCUCGAUUGAGCACAUAGCCAAGCCAUUUAACCUUUCUUGCGAUAUAGUUAAUCUCAAAUAGUUCUUCAACAACUUCAAUUUUGAGAAACUUCUUUCAGCUGAAGCUACUGUCACAGGUACAGUUUACAGAAUUCGAUAGGCAACUGAAAUAUUUGGAUAGCAAUCUGCAUCCAUAACAAAUUUUAGAAUCUCAAGCACGGACAUCGAAGAAUCUGGCAAACUCACUUACAGCACCUUUUAAUUCUGAAUAAAAAUCAUUGAUCUCAACAUCGGAUGAGGUACUAGACUAGUAUUAGGUGUUGACUCCCCUCCCCCCACACCAUCAUGGCCCCCGGCAAUCACCUCGGCUGCAUAGGGCCAAGUCAAACAUACGUAUUUAACGUCAACUUUUAGAAAUUCAUAUACUUUAGCAUCAUAAGAUUUAUGUUUUAGAUUUAUUAUGAGAAAUGCUUUCAUAAUACAUAAUUCACAUAUUAUUAACCUACCAAAACUUUUAAAAAUUAGUGGUGAAAUAACAUCUUUUUGGCUUGGGACAAAUCUAUAACGUUUUACAUAUGGAAAAAAGGGGUCUGCGAUCUGUACAGUCUGUGUUUAGUUUGACAUUGUUCUUGCUGAAUUUGCAUGUUGUAGUCAACCAUAGCGUAUACAAUUAAGCAUAUUUCUACGUCAACGCAUCUCCACAUUAGAUGGUUGUGCAGGUUCUACACGGACUCAAUGAUUGCACACUCACCACCGCCACCCAACUAUAAGUGAUGAUCGAUUAAUUAACACAUCGCCGACCCACUCAAUGAUGCCUAAAAGUCUUGAGGAUUUAAUGGAGAGAAGAUUCAGUAGCUAGCCUAGCACUGACGAUAUCUCCAUAUACUAUCAUGCAUCACUCUCACACUCUGCGAAUUAAUCAACAAAUUAAGCAACUUACUCCAUCGGUCUUAUCAGGAACAGCGUGUCUUACUGCAGAUUAUAUUAAUUACUACUACUACUUUUCUGCAGUAGUAGCAUUUUGCAUCACUCAUCAUGUAUUAAUCCAACAUGGAAUGGGCUUAGCUGCAACUUGCAAUUAAGCAGCAUCUCCCAAGCUUGUGCAUGUGCAUAUUGAUGAAAAUUCUGCAUUGAAAUUUCGUAAGAUUUGCAUGGUUUUUGACUUGGUUUUGAUCCGGAUCAUGUCACAUCAUGUGCGGUGGCGACGCGCCGGCGCCUGCAUCAAGUGUAUCUAGCUGAAUGUUACCAGAUCUGUGCAGCUAGCUAGCUUUGGAGACUGGUUUACCUUUCAGAGUGCAUAAUAUAUCUCCAAGAUAAGAGUCAGAGAACAUCAAAGCAAAAUAAAAGGGAUAAUAUGUAAUGUGGUACAACUGAAUUGUCGCCCUGUACUUAUCCUGGUUGAGUACCCAUUUAACAAGGAUAAACAUCUGACUGUUUUAUCAUGUCUGUCGCCUGGUGAUUGAUUAGAUCAUCUUAACUCCAAAUACGUCUGAGUUUUUAACAGGUCCUUCGGCACAGAAUCAAUAAUUGGUUUUCUACCGUCUAAGUCAGGUUUGAUUUGUUCAUAUGUCAUUAUAUUAAUUGAUCCCUUCGAUCAUAAAAACAUAUCAUUUUGGACAUUGAUAUGGUCUUCGGAAUAUAACUUUAUCCACAAAUUUAUACGGCGGAACAUUAAAAAACCCAAUAAAAUUAUAGCAUUACGGAAGUCAAAUGUCACAUGUAGUUUUCAUUCAUCCAAUCCAAAUAUUUAAUCAAAAUUUUAAAGUUUGACUUAAAACAUAUCCAAAACAACAUGCCUUCAAGACCGAAGGGAGUAUGAAACUUAGAAUUACCUAGCUAAACUAGCACCUUGAACCGCUGUCCAUGGAUGCAGAUGCAGGUUAUACACUUUGAGUCAGAAACCAUCGGAGCAGAGGAAAGGCCUGAGAUAAGCAUUUGACGUGGAGGUUUAUUUUAGGUUUGACAAAUUGACGUACUACAAACAAUCAUGAAUAUCAUAUUUGUUGUUUCAUUCAAACCAUCAGAUGUGUAACACUUAAUUAUAGUGUAAUUUUUAUCGCCUCUUUUGAGGACCUUUUGGUUAUGUACGAGAGAAAAGGUCGCCUAAAAGAAAAAGGAAAACUAUACACAGAGUGAACAGCUGAUAGAUUCGGCUGUAUGAUUUUCUUUUUCUCCCCUCCAAAUAUGAAGAAAAGGUCUUCUAUAAAAGAAACAAAACUACGCAAAGUGAACGGCUGAUAGAUUCGGCUGUGUAAUUUUUUUCGCUCCAAAUUAAAUAUGAAGAAAAGGUCAUGGCCGGUUGAGCCAAAUGUGACUAACUACACACUCUUAACUUUAUUUUAGUUUGUUCUCUCUGAUUCAGUAACUCCAAUUUCCGAUUAACAAUAUUUUUUACUUGGCUGCUUCAAGUGAUCUAGAAGCAAUCAAUCAAGAAUGGUGGAGAGAAAAAUUCAGAUGCAGAAAAGGUAUCUGCUAAUUUCUUCCGGUGGCAUUACGGUCAUGAAGCAAAAGUAACCAGCACACCAAAUUAUUCUAAAAUCCAAUAUAGUACUAUCAGUCUAAUUAAUUGAUAGAAGGUGAUGCCACUGUUCAAUUAAUAUAAUGCACAAUUCAAUGAAAUUAUUCCAUGCAUAUUGAAUAAGAAAAUAAAUGAAGGACAAGGGAUCAGUGUCUUUGUACAUGUUAUGAGUCACUAACUUAAUUAUGGGAGAUGCCUAUCAAAUCCCAAGUUAAGAGCAAAAUGUUGGAUUUUUCAUAUUUGAGCUAUAUAUACAAAAGAAAGGCUGGGCAAGAUUAUGCAUAAACAGGUAGUCUAAAACAAAAUGGCAUGUAACAAAGCACAACUUAACAGCUUUAUAUCAUGUUAGUUUUUUUCCAAACAAAAUCAUAAUUACGUCAUAUUAGUCAGUGAAUAGUUAGACAGGACCAAAUAAAAGUAAAAAUACAUUUCAAGUCUCUAACUUAGCUAGAUGAAUUAAGGAUCCAAAACUAACGCAAGAAUGCAGCAUCCUUCCCUAUGCACAGUGACUCUGUAGUCCUAUCUGAAACUCCACAUCAUGACACAUGAAUAUCAUUUUGGUACGAAUCCACAUGAUCAACCCAAUAAUGUAUCAAGCUCUCUAUCUAAUAGGCUUUCGCAUGAAUGCUAUGGGCCUCAAAAUAGUGUCUUUAAUUAGAUGCUUUCUCCUCUUAUACAGCUUUCUACAUGCAUUAUUCUUGCUUGGUGUAAGAAGGUUAUACUGUAUCUUAAGCAACAUGCAAACUCUCAUAUUCAAUUUUCCCCUCCAAAUAACCUAGAAUCAUAUAAUUAGAUGGAGUAACUAUAAGAUUGUUGAUAAUGCCCAUAUGAAGCACAUCCCUAAAUUUGAAGUUUAAUGAAUAAUUAUCUUUUUGCGACCAUCUAUAUACUGGUAUUGUUCUGUCUAGCAUAGCUGUACACAAUCCUUUUGUAUUCACAGAGGGAAGCUGUGACCGACAUAACAUCAAAUUAAUUAAACACUUCAUUUGAGCAGGAACAGCGUGACCUAUUACAAAUAAAUCAACAAUUAUUUUUUCCCUUUGGUGAGCACAUUAAUUUGAUACAUGUAAUCUAGGCAAUGAAAGAUUUAUAGUGUAUUUUUGUACAGAAUUAAUGAAAGAUUUACAGUGUAUUUUGUACAUUCAGAUCAUAAACAAAUUAAAGAACUAAAAGUAAUCACAAAAUCUAAUUAACUACUAAGAGGAGUGCAAAUUAAAGCAUGUGCUCCUCUUAGCAAUUAAUAAUAAUUAAUAGAUCGGUGGAUGGAUGUGAUGGUGAUGAAAUGAUCAGGAGGGGUAAGAAGCCUUAAGGUGAGCUUGCAAGCAUGGCGAGUCCUUCCAAACCCUAGCGUUCGCCCUGAGCAUCUCCCUCGCCCUCGCCCUGGCGCGCUCGCCGCCGUCCGCCUGCAGCACCAGCAGCAGCUUCGCCACCACGCCGACGGCGAGCAUCUCCUGCAGCACGGCCGGCGUCGCCGCGUUCCUCGCGACGGCGUGGAGCGCGCGCACGGCGCUCUCGGUGGCCGCCGGCGACACCCGCAUCGCCCUCUUGGACACCACGGCGAGCCCCGCCGGGUGCGCCACCAGCUCCGACCUCCCCUCCGCGCACCCGCACAGGUGGUCGAUCGCCACCACCGCCAGCUCCGCCGCGCGCCGCCGCCCGCCGCCGCCCUCCUCGUCGAGGAGGAGCUCCACCAGCGCCGCCACCGCGCCGGCCUCCACCGCCUUCACGCGGUUCCGCCCCCACGGGCACAGCCGGCACAGCACGUGCAGCGCCGCCUUCACCGCCUUCGACGACACGCCGUCGGACACCACCCGGACCACCUCCUCCACCAGCUCGGGGCUCACCGCCAUCAGCCGCUCCGGCGGCAUCGCCGACGUCACCGCCUUCAGGAGGAGGAUGGCAUACGCGCGCGAACGGUAGCUCGGGCGGCGGAGCACGGAGGCGAGGGUGUCGAGGAAGCCGACGCCAUUGUCCUUGCCGAGGACGCGGCGCAGGGUGGGCUCGGACGGCUUGAGGGAGUAGAGCACGCCCAGGGCCUCCUCCUCCGGCGAGCUCGUCGACAUGGGGGAAUCGAUCACCGAGUCGAACAGGUCGUCGUCGUC